UGUUCUGUUUACGCUUGGGGCUGCCAAUAGAAGCUGCAAAUUCACUAUGACUUGCGGGUCCUAUUCCAUUUCGGUCUCUCCAGUUAUCGGAUUCGCUUCCACUCCCCAGGUGUUCACGACUGUUGGACCUCGAGAGGGACAUUGACGAACCCUGAAAACAAUCAGAGCCAGAUAAGGAAGUGUUUAACAAGAGCAAUGUUUCCAGAAGGGAGGCUGCAUCAGAGACAGACUAGACUUUUGCUGAAAAUGUGGAUUACUGGUUCCUGCUGGCUCCCUCCCUGAUGAGUGAGAUCCUGGAGGAAGAAUUUGCAUUUUUAAGUGCUCCAAAUGAUUCUUAUGUCUUUUAAGGGUAAAGUUCUUCAGUGGAAAUAACAGUAGCUGCUAAAUAUUGCUGAGAACUUCCUGCACACCACGCUGAGCACUGGAUGCCCUCUCCCACAUCAUCCUGAAACAACUGCAAUGAGAAAAUGGGCUCAGAGGCGUGAAGUCACUCAUCAAAGCUGUACGUGUGUCGGUGGUAGCUGUCAGGCCCCAUAGCCCCUGCACUUGACAACUACGUUAUUAGAAUGAUCAUCAUUUCAACCUGUCACACUAUUGGUCUUUGAGAAGAGAACUGAAUUAGCAUUUCUAAAGUGAAACAUUUCAUCUCGGAAACUACAGAAACACAACCACCUAACACUCCACCCCACCAAAGAUGAGGGUGAGCAGGAUGGAAGACUGCAGGUAUUCAAUACAUAGGGUGGAAGCCUAAGAAUUAGCACAGCAGUUUUAAGGUCUCUGCCAGUGAAAGGAGAUGUUUAUUUUCUCUCAAAGCUACAAUGGCAGAAAGAGGGGUGUGCCUCCUAGAGCCUCAAAUUUUUCACAACGGUUCCUACAUUCUAGCUGCUGACGGUCACUUCAAUCUUUAAAUACAGCCGCUAGGUUGCUACUUUAAGUCGGACAAUGAAAUUCACAGGAGACUGUUCUUUUCAGUAUUUCAAUAGUAUUUUCUUUUUCACUUACUCAAAGAGACAAAGGAAAAAAUGUCAUGUUUGCUUCUGCCUUUCAUCAACAUUCUAAUUUAUUACAAAGAAAAUGGGUGGAGAAAAGAAGAUCAAUCUACAAAUGCUAGUUAUUAGACUAACAAUUAUGAAACCCUUAACCACUAUUUGUUUUUCAGCCUACAGUGUUCUGGUUGAACACUGUGAUUCUUGGAUUAAUCACUUUCAUCCACGUUUGGGUUUGCACAGCCUCACCAGUAGUGUGUGUGCACGUGCUGUAACUCCACCCCACUCGCAAAAGGCUUACAGCCAAAAUCUGACACUCUCCAGCUGAAAAGGCCUUGCCGAGUGAGUCGUAUAGCCUAGCUUAGAAGCAAGGAACUCUGGAUCUCUUCUCCAUGUGGUGAGGAUACCAGCUUCCCAGUCUCACCCUGAGCACUACAGCCAACAUCUGGGAAGCAUAACAUUUUGGGGCUCUCGUUUGUGAUCCUUCCUGCUGUGUUCCUGGCACAUCUGAACACACUGAAUUUUUAACUCAUAUCUGAGAACUUGUUUUUGUUGAAUACUUGCCUUUUUCUCCUAUGGUGGGCUUGCGAGUGAUACCCUUGGAUAAAGGGAUUCUUUACACAUUUUUUAUGGAAUGUUACAUCUGUCCUUUGCUUAAUCUCAGCCCUGCUCUAUCACUUAUGACACUCUCCGCCUAACAAAAACAAGUUUAUCCAAAUUUACACCUCCUUCACAGCUGAUCAACAACUGUGAGAGAAGACGCAUAAAAGAUCAUAAUAUAUUGGAGUGUAUCAAUUCCAUAGCAAUACGUUUACAGGAAUAGAAAUUAAAACAAAUCACCAUUAAUAGAUUGUCCUUCUAUAAAUAGAGAAUGGGAGAGGAGAGAAGAUUGUUCUCUUCUGCUGAGAGAACAGACAGGAAGAAUAGGUAGGGCAUGACUCUACAAACCUCAAAAGUGGUUGUCAUUGUGGGCUUAUAGGACACGUGGUUGGCCCUCCUCAGCUCCUUGAUAGUUUCAGCGGGCAUGGAUUUAGAAAACCCGAGGCCACUCCAGGUAUUUGUGGGUGUUCUGACCUCCGUCACCACUGGUUUCUUUAACAUAGCUUUGGAAAACAGAACGUAAAACAAAUGCUUGGUAUUUUUAAUGAAUUUCUUAAAUAAAAUAUUGAUGAGUAUCGUUUCUUUGAUAUAUGUAAAGAAAUUAUCACUGAAUAUUAUUUCUUAACACAAAAUACCUUAAAAUAUCCUCAUAAAACAUUUUAUACAAAGUAAUGGUAAACUUUAAAAUGAUACAUUAUUUCUUAAUUGAUCUAAUGCUAAUCUAUUCAACCUCAACAAAGUUUGUGCAAC